rnacentral:lncRNA from 1 species
GUUAACGCUAAGAUCGAUUGCUAUCAAUCUCUUUUCGGAUGAAUGUUAUAUUUAGAUACAAAAAUAAAGGUCAGACCUGUUCUUUUUAUGUUGUAGUGUAAAGGCAAUGGAUUAAAUAAGAUCGUUCGCGAUCGAUCUUGCAUGAGCAAUGUAAACGCAAACUGGUCUUUUUAAGAUCGUUUCAAAUAAUGAUCGAUUCAAUUAUUUGGUGGUGUAA